AUAUACCUGCUUUGAACAGAGAUGGGUGGCUUAAAUUUGAUGAACUGGGGAAGAAAAUACUGUCCAUUGCACUACCUGCUGCUUUGGCAUUGGCAGCUGAUCCACUUACCUCACUGAUCGACACAGCAUUUGUCGGCCACAUAGGGCCUGCUGAAUUGGCUGCAGUUGGGGUUUCAACUUCUGUGUUUAAUUUGGUGU